CGGAGAAUAGUAUAGUGGUAGUACGCGUGCAUGGGGUGCAUGUAGCGGGAGUUCGAUUCUCCCUUCUCCGACAA
rnacentral:tRNA from 1 species